AGACAACAACACCACCCACUACUAGUCAUGGCAGACUUCAUGAGAGACUAACGUGUCGUGGUGGGACUUACGUGUGCACUGCUCCAGACUGAUGCUGUUGCUCAUGUGAAUGUUGUCUAUUCGGAUGUGGCCCCUGGUCGGGUGGUCGAAGAACCCUUCGAACACCACCUGCAAAGGGAGGAGACCUUGGUGUCAAUUUCAUUCGCAGAUUGACAUGAGAUUCUGUAAAUUAAAAUAUUUUUUUUGUUUUAAAAACAAAAAAACAAGCAAAUACACAUAGAAAGGGUUUUAUUAUUUGUGCUCCGCUGCCUUCUUAUGGAUGAUCUUGCUCACUGCAGUUGUCCUCCCAUUUAAAGGUGUUCGUGUUCGUCUUCCGGCCGUCCAUAGUGAAUCUACUCGUAUGGAUUCUUCAUUCAUCACUCCAAGAAACCUUUAAUGGUGCGACCCUCCCGCCAGUGAGAGCCCUGGUCUCCCUUCAAGGUCCACAGCAAGGUCUCUUCCAGGUCGCUGUCCCUCAGCAGGACCCUCAGGCUGCCCAGCGCUUCUCCUUGCAGCUGGUAGUAGAAGACCAAGCACAGCGGCCCUUGCUCAGGGGCCACUUCGGGGCUCAGGAGCCUGGCGCGCUUGCGCAGGGUGUGAGACCCCGCGUCCAAAUGCAGGACUUUUAUGGCGAGGUGGCAUACUGUACGUCUUUGUACUGGAUAUUUGCAAUGCUCAAUAUGAGUCCGAGAAAGACAACAGCUCAGCGUGGGAAGAAGGAGGGAAUUGCUGUGCCGUUGAAAAGAAGACAGGAGUAAACUGAUGGUGCUCACCAGGAUGGAAUAAGUCAUUAAG